rnacentral:rRNA from 1 species
AGAGUUUGAUCCUGGCUCAGGAUGAACGCUAGCGGCAGGCCUAACACAUGCAAGUCGAGGGGCAGCACGGUGUAGCAAUACACUGGUGGCGACCGGCGCACGGGUGCGUAACGCGUAUGCAACCUACCCAUAACAGGGGGAUAACACUGAGAAAUUGGUACUAAUACCCCAUAACAUCAGGACCGGCAUCGGUUCUGGUUGAAAACUCCGGUGGUUAUGGAUGGGCAUGCGUUGUAUUAGCUGGUUGGUGAGGUAACGGCUCACCAAGGCAACGAUACAUAGGGGGACUGAGAGGUUAACCCCCCACAUUGGUACUGAGACACGGACCAAACUCCUACGGGAGGCAGCAGUGAGGAAUAUUGGUCAAUGGACGCAAGUCUGAACCAGCCAUGCCGCGUGCAGGAAGACGGCUCUAUGAGUUGUAAACUGCUUUUGUACGAGGGUAAACUCACCUACGUGUAGGUGACUGAAAGUAUCGUACGAAUAAGGAUCGGCUAACUCCGUGCCAGCAGCCGCGGUAAUACGGAGGAUCCAAGCGUUAUCCGGAUUUAUUGGGUUUAAAGGGUGCGUAGGCGGUUUGAUAAGUUAGAGGUGAAAUCCCGGGGCUUAACUCCGGAACUGCCUCUAAUACUGUUAGACUAGAGAGUAGUUGCGGUAGGCGGAAUGUAUGGUGUAGCGGUGAAAUGCUUAGAGAUCAUACAGAACACCGAUUGCGAAGGCAGCUUACCAAACUAUAUCUGACGUUGAGGCACGAAAGCGUGGGGAGCAAACAGGAUUAGAUACCCUGGUAGUCCACGCA